AAACUUUCAACAACGGAUCUCUUGGUUCUCGCAUCGAUGAAGAACGCAGCGAAAUGCGAUAAGUAAUAUGAAUUGCAGAUAUUCGUGAAUCAUCGAAUCUUUGAACGCACAUUGCGCCCUGUGGUAUUCCGCAGGGCAUGCCUGUUUGAGCGUCAUUU
rnacentral:rRNA from 2 species